GAUGAAGAACGUAGCGAAAUGCGAUAAGUAAUGUGAAUUGCAGAAUUCAGUGAAUCAUCGAAUCUUUGAACGCACAUUGCGCCCGCCAGUAUUCUGGCGGGCAUGCCUGUUCGAGCGUCAUUUCAACCAUCAAGCCCCCGGCUUGUGUUGGGGACCUGCGGCUGCCGCAGGCCCUGAAAACCAGUGGCGGGCUCGCUGUCACACCGAGCGUAGUAGCACAUCUCGCUCAGGGCGUGCGGCGGGCUCCUGCCGUGAAACCCCCCACUGUAACCCCAAAGGUUGACCUCGGAUCAGGUAGGAAUACCCGCUGAACUUAAGCAUAUCAAUAAGCGGAGGA
rnacentral:misc_RNA from 1 species